UCAAGCUAGCAAGAGCACACGGUGGAUGCCUUGGCAUCGGCAGGCGACGAAGGACGCGAUAAGCUGCGAAAAGCCUCGGGGAGCGGCAAAUACGCUUUGAUCCGGGGGUGUCCGAAUGGGGAAACCCGACGCCGGUAAUGCGGCGUCGUCCGCGCCUGAAUCCAUAGGGCGUGGGACGCGAACUCGGGGAAGUGAAACAUCUCAGUACCCGAAGGAAGAGAAAACAACCGUGAUUCCCUCAGUAGUGGCGAGCGAAAGGGGAACAGGCCAAACCGUCCGGCUUGCCGGGCGGGGUUGCGGGACCUCGAUGUGGGACGGCGGAGGAUAGCGGAAGGAUCUGGAACGGUCCGCCAGAGAGGGUGACAGCCCUGUACGCGAAAUCCGAAACCGCCCUAGAGGUAUCCCAAGUAGGACGGGACACGUGAAACCCCGUCUGAAUCCGGGAGGCCCACCUCCCAAGCCUAAAUACUAGCCGGUGACCGAUAGUGUACCAGUACCGUGAGGGAAAGGUGAAAAGAACCCCUGCGAGGGGAGUGAAAUAGAACCUGAAACUGUGUGCUUACAAGGUGUGGUAGUCCCGCCUCGGCGGGGUGGCCGCAUGCCUUUUGCAUAAUGAGUCCGCGAGUUACCGUAGGCAGCGAGGUUAAUCCGCGAUCGGCGGAGGAGCCGAAGCGAAAGCGAGUGCUAAAUGCGCGCCCAGUUGUCUGCGGUAGACCCGAAGCCAGGUGAGCUACCCAUGGCCAGGAUGAAACCCCGGUAACACGGGGUGGAGGUCCGAACCGGUGUCUGUUGAAAAAGGCUCGGAUGAGCUGUGGGUUGGAGUGAAAGGCUUACCAAACCUGGUGAUAGCUGGUUCUCCUCGAAAUAUCUUUAGGGAUAGCCUGCGCGAAUGCAAGCUGCGGAGGUAGAGCACUGAUUGGCAUAGGGCCCUUACCGGGGUACCGAAGCCUGUCAAACUCCGAAUGCCGCGGCCGUCACGCGUGGAGUCAGACCAUGUGGGAUAAGCUGUAUGGUCGAAAGGGAAACAGCCCAGCCCGCCAGCUAAGGCCCCCAAAACCGGUUAAGUGCGUAAGGAUGUGGAAUCGCGAAGACAGCUGGGAUGUUGGCUUAGAGGCAGCCACCAUUUAAACAGUGCGUAAUAGCUGACCAGCCGAGUGGUUUCGCGCCGAAAAUAAACGGGACUAAACCGGUUGCCGAAGCUGCGGACGGCGCCUUCGGGCGCCGUGGUAGAGGAGCGUUCCCUGUGGGAUGAAGCGGGAGGGGCAACCGACCGUGGACCGCAGGGAAGUGAUUAUGCGGACAUGAGUAACGAUAAGACCCGUGAGAAUCGGGUCCGCCGAAAUCCCAAGGUUUCCUGGGGAAGGUUCGUCCGCCCAGGGUUAGUCGGCCCCUAAGCCGAGGCUGAAAAGCGUAGGCGAUGGGAAACAGGUCAAUAUUCCUGUACCGCCGGACGGGAGGUGUCGGAGGGACGCGGAAAGCUAGGUCGGCCACCGGUUGGAAGUGGUGGUCGAAGCCAGUAGGGAGUCCGGGGCGAAAACCCGGGCCAUCCCGAGAGGCGAUCGGACGUGGAGACCACGGUCUCCGCGGAUCGGCCGAUGCUCUGCCGCCGAGAAAAGCUCCGGCAUCGUUGAAGGUCAGGCGACCGUACCGUAAACCGACACAGGUGGGAGGGUAGAGUAUACCAAGGCGCGCGAGAGAAACCUCGUUAAGGAACUCGGCAAAUUAGCCCCGUAACUUCGGGAGAAGGGGUCCUGCCCAGGGUGCGCUUUCAUUCGAUGGCAAGCCCCGGACAGGCGCAGUGAAGAGGCCCAGGCGACUGUUUAUCAAAAACACAGCACUCUGCCAACUCGCAAGAGGACGUAUAGGGUGUGACACGUGACCAAUGCCGUAAAGUUAAGGCGAGGGGUCAUUCCCGCUUCGGCGGGAAGAAGCUCCGAACCGAAGCUCCGGUGAAUGUCGGCCGUAACUAUAACGGUCCUAAGGUAGCGAAAUUCCUUGUCGGGUAAGUUCCGACCUGCACGAAUCGUGUAACGAUCUGGGCGCUGUCUCAACGAGGAUCUC
rnacentral:rRNA from 1 species